UUGACUCCCCUGGGAAACCUUGCACACGCAGCCAGAGAGGGGCCAUCAUUGGUGGAGUUUCCUGCAAAGAAGCAAAAUCACAAGCUGAAGCGUGAGUUGAUUGGAGGAACUUGGUGACUGUAACAACACAACCUCUCUGACCCAAGACUCUACACUGUUCAGAGUAGGGGUGAAGGCACCUCAUCGACCAGACAAGGAGUCAUGAAGAGACCCUGGGGAGCUCUGCUGGGGCUUCUGUGGGUGCAGGUUUGCUGGGUGAGAGGGAUGGAGGUGGAGCAGAGACCUCCAGCCACGAACGUCCAGGAGGGAGCCAGCUCUACCCUGAGCUGCAACUUUUCCAGGACAGCGAACAAUGUACAGUGGUUCCGACAGAACCCUGGGGGCGGCGGCCUCACGCGGCUGUUUUACAUCGCGUCAGGGAUGAAGCAGGACGGGAGGUUAGAAUGCACGCUGAACAGUAAGGAGCGGCACAGCAGCCUGCACGUCAGGGCCUCCAGGCAGGAAGACUCAGCCACCUACCUGUGUGCGGUGGAGGCACAGUGCUCCCUGCUGCCCUGCAGCCUGUCCCCAAAGUGCAGCUGGGCUCGCAGCCCAGGCUCCUCCACCAGGAAGCCUUCCUACCUCAGCAGCAUUUGCACAGCCCUGUUUCCUCUUCAUUUUGUCGGACUUUUAAUUCUCUAUAAUCGUAAACCUAUAAUGCUAACAUGGAGCUCUUAGAGAUGCUAAAGACAGUGGCAAGAUUCAAACCCACACUUAAGUAAA